CUGGUUGCCCGUGAAAUGAAUAUUAGUUCUCCCUUAAUUUUACCCCCUAGACUCGAUUACUUGCUCGUAGCAAAUUAAGAGUAAUUUAAAGGAGGUACAGCUCCUUUAAAACAGAACACAAUCUCCCCCAGAGGAUAAGCCAAAGUACUUCCAAACUUGUAGGCCUUUAAGCAGCCACCAACAAAGAGUGCGUCAAAGCUCCUCACACCAAAAAUAUAAAACUUUACGCGACUCCCUCACCCAUAACGGGCUAACCUAUCAAAUAUAGGAGCAUUAAUGCUAAAAUAAGUAACUAAGGACCUUCCUUCUAAAGCACAAACUUACAUUUUCACAUUAUUAACAGGCCCACUAAUAGACCAAUCACUACAAGACUGCCUAUCUAAUACCCUGUUAGACCAACCCAGGAGUGCUCAACUAGAAAGAUUCAAACCUGUAAAAGGAACUAGGCAAACCCAAGGCCCGACUGUUUACCAAAAACAUAGCCUUCAGCAAAACAACCAAGUAUUGAAGGUGAUGCCUGCCCAGUGACAUUAAGUUCAACGGCCGCGGUAUCCUAACCGUGCAAAGGUAGCGCAAUCAAUUGUCCCAUAAAUCGAGACUUGUAUGAACGGCCAAACGAGGUCUUAACUGUCUCUUACAGGUAAUCAGUGAAAUUGAUCUCCCCGUGCAAAAGCAGGGAUAAACCCAUAAGACGAGAAGACCCUGUGGAACUUAAAAACCAACAGCCACUCUAAAAACUCAAACCCCCAUAGGGCCUACUACCAAUAGACGAUUGGCUCACAUUUUUCGGUUGGGGCGACCUUGGAGAAAAACGUAUCCUCCAAAAAUAAGACCAUCCAUCCUAACCAAGAUCAACCACUCAAAGUGCUAACAGUAACCA
rnacentral:rRNA from 1 species